rnacentral:rRNA from 1 species
UACGUAGGGCGCAAGCGUUGUCCGGAAUUAUUGGGCGUAAAGAGCUCGUAGGCGGUUUGUCGCGUCUGCUGUGAAAACCUAAGGCUCAACCUUGGGCUUGCAGUGGGUACGGGCAGACUAGAGUGUGGUGGGGGAGACUGGAAUUCCUGGUGUAGCGGUGAAAUGCGCAGAUAUCAGGAGGAACACCGAUGGCGAAGGCAGGUCUCUGGGCCACUACUGACGCUGAGAAGCGAAAGCGUGGGGAGCGAACAGG